rnacentral:rRNA from 1 species
ACUCCUACGGGAGGCAGCAGUGGGGAAUAUUGCACAAUGGGCGCAAGCCUGAUGCAGCCAUGCCGCGUGUGUGAAGAAGACCUUCGGGUUGAUAAAGCACUUUCAGUCGUGAGGAAGGUAGUGUAGUUAAUAGCUUGCUAUUAUUUUGACGUUAGCGACAGAAGAAGCACCGGCUAACUCCGUGCCAGCAGCCGCGGUAAUACGGAGGGUGCGAGCGUUAAUCGGAAUUACUGGGCGUAAAGCGCAUGCAGGUGGUUUGUUAAGUCAGAUGUGAAAGCCCGGGGCUCAACCUCGGAAUUGCAUUUGAAACUGGCAGACUAGAGUACUGUAGAGGGGGGUAGAAUUUCAGGUGUAGCGGUGAAAUGCGUAGAGAUCUGAAGGAA